GCUGUCAUAGCUCAAUAGGCAGAGCAACCGCCUUGUAAGCGGUAGGUUGUAAGUGCAAGUCUUACUGACAGCACCA
rnacentral:tRNA from 1 species